CUCAAAACCAUGACAAAUGCAAACGAUGAAAUAACCACAAUUAGCCGCCCAUUAACAUGUGAAGAGUGUACAACACACAAACAGAUCGUGGGAAUGAUGCCCUGAAGAGGGCCAUUCCAACCCUAUUAGGAAACACUGAUGUUACAAGCCACAGUGUAUAAAUUAGAAACUAGGGAUGUAUGGCAAAUCACACUUUUAACCAUUCCUGAAGAACUCAGAUCUAAAUUAACAACUCAAAUUAAAUCUGGAGACAUAAUCAAGCAAAACAUUUACGAAAAUGACAAGAUUAUAUACGAACAAUUAAAACUAGCAUUGUUAGAUGUGAGGGGUCCAACGAGCGCAGAUUGGAGCAGGAUACUAGAAAUUAAGCAGGGAAGCAUUGAACCGUUUGAAACAUACACUGGACGUCUGUGGAUGACAUGCAAAGAAUAUUCCGGUCUAGAAAAUGCAAGCUGUGAUCACAAACCUUUAUUACAACUCAUAAAGAACAAUGCUGGCACUCCAGUCCAAAAUGCAUUGUUAAAUGGAGCAGAUUCAGCCGAAAACACGUUCAGAGCGAUUGUAGAUUGGGGUUCAAGGAUAGAAAACAGAUGGAAAUCAAAGCCCCACACUAUCGCAUCUGCACAGUGGUUAACAGAAGGGAAUUAUUCUAAAAGCAAUGGGGUUGAAAAGCAUGUCCACUUCUUGGAGGAGGUGACUUUCUGUGAUGAAUCUAGAACUUUUAGUUCAGAGGAAGCCUGUGCCAGUCAUGAAAAUCCUCAAACUUCAGGAGAACACAGCAAACAAACCUGUGGCAAAGAUAGCAGGUUUUGUUCUUUCUGUCAGAAAAUAGGCCAUACAGAGGAAAAAUUCUGGUCACUGGGAAGGGGUAGACCUCCACCUUAUUUUCUGAAACGUAGGAUAUCACUUUCUAAAGGCAAAGAUCAGGGUUUUACAUGUAACAAGUCGUCCUCAGGUAAAACUCCUAGUGAGUUGACUGCAUUGUUCAUGCAAGGCCUCCAGCUAUUGACUUCACUUGCUAGUGGGUUAGCAGCUUAAUAGCAAUAAGUUUAAUAUGGAAACAUCCAAAUUUCAAUAAUCCUGUUUGCAUUUUCAAAUUUAUAAUUGUGCUAAACAUUGUG
ensembl:lncRNA